GACGAACGCUGGCGGCGUGCUUAACACAUGCAAGUCGAACGGAAAGGCCCCUUUGGGGGUACUCGAGUGGCGAACGGGUGAGUAACACGUGAGUAACCUGCCCUUGACUUCGGGAUAACUUCAGGAAACUGGGGCUAAUACCGGAUAGGAAUCCUUGCUGCAUGGUGGGGGUUGGAAAGCUUCGGCGGUUUUGGAUGGACUCGCGGCUUAUCAGCUUGUUGGUGGGGUAGUGGCUUACCAAGGCUUUGACGGGUAGCCGGCCUGAGAGGGCGACCGGCCACAUUGGGACUGAGAUACGGCCCAGACUCCUACGGGAGGCAGCAGUGGGGAAUAUUGCACAAUGGGCGGAAACCUGAUGCAGCAACGCCGCGUGCGGGAGGACGGCCUUCGGGUUGUAAACCGCUUUCAGCAGGGGCGAAGCUUGUGGUGACGGUACCUGCAGAAGAAGCACCGGCUAACUACGUG
rnacentral:rRNA from 1 species